rnacentral:rRNA from 1 species
GCAAGUCGAGCGAAGACUAGUUUACUAGUUACUGAGCGGCGAACGGGUGAGUCCUUCUAGGAUAAUCUGCCACUAGGAUUGGGAUAACCUCAGGAAACUUAGACUAAUACCAAAUAUGACCACAGUCUUUACGAAGACAGUGGUAAAAUGUUUUUUCGCCUAGUGAUGAGUCCAAGUCGCAUCAGGUUGUUGGUAAGGUAAUGGCUUACCAAGCCUAUGACGCGUAGCAGGUCUUAGCGGAUGAUCUGCCACAUGGGGACUGAGAUACGGCCCUGACUCCUACGGGAGGCAGCAGUGAGGAAUAUUGGACAAUGGACGAAAGUCUGAUCCAGCGAUGCCGCGUGAAGGAUGAAGGCCCUAGGGUUGUAAACUUCUGUCAGCAGGGAAGAUAAUGACGGUACCUGCAGAGGAAGCCCCGGCUAACCCCGUGCCAGCAGCCGCGGUAAUACGGAGGGGGCAAACGUUAUUCGGAUUUACUGGGCGUAAAGGGUUCGUAGGCGGUUUUUUAGGUUAGAUGUGAAAGCUUGAAGCUUAACUUCAAAAUAGCAUCUAAAACUGAAUUACUAGAUUCUUGGAGAGGUAGAUGGAAUUACCGGUGUAGCGGUGAAAUGCGUAGAUAUCGGUAGGAACACCAGUGGCGAAAGCGAUCUACUGGACAAGUAAUGACGCUGAGGGACGAAAGCGUGGGUAGCAAACAGGAUUAGAUACCCUGGUAGUCCACGCCCUAUACGAUGAAUACUAGAUGUUGGAUUUAUUCAGUAUCGUAGCUAACGUAUUAAGUAUUCCGCCUGGGGAGUACGGUCGCAAGGCUGAUACUCAAAGGAAUUGGGCGGGGACUCGCACAAGCGGGUGGAGCAUGUGGUUUAAUUCGAUGCUAAGCGAAGAACCUUACCAGGGCUUGACAUGUAAGCAUA